rnacentral:rRNA from 1 species
UACAGAGGUCCCAAGCGUUGUUCGGAUUCACUGGGCGUAAAGGGUGCGUAGGUGGUGAGGUAAGUCGGAUGUGAAAUCUCCGAGCUCAACUCGGAAAUGGCAUUGGAAACUACCUUGCUCGAGGGUUGGAGGGGGGACUGGAAUGCUUGGUGUAGCAGUGAAAUGCGUAGAUAUCGGGAGGAACACCUGUGGCGAAAGCGGCUCACUGGACCACAACUGACGCUGAUGCACGAAAGCUAGGGGAGCAAACAGG